rnacentral:rRNA from 1 species
CACCGCGGUUAUACGAGGGGCUCAAAUUGAUAUCCUUCGGCGUAAAGUGUGAUUAGAGAACAAUAAAAACUAAAGCUAAACACCUCCUGAGCUGUCAUACGCUAACGGAGACAGAAACCCCACAACGAAAGUAGCUUUAACAACUCUUGAACUCACGACCAUUAAGAAA